UACAGAGGGUGCAAGCGUUAAUCGGAAUUACUGGGCGUAAAGCGCGCGUAGGUGGUUUGUUAAGUUGGAUGUGAAAGCCCCGGGCUCAACCUGGGAACUGCAUCCAAAACUGGCAAGCUAGAGUAUGGUAGAGGGUGGUGGAAUUUCCUGUGUAGCGGUGAAAUGCGUAGAUAUCUGGAGGACACAGUGCGAGCGCCCUGGCUCGAUACUGACACUGAGGUGCGAAAGCGUGGGGAGCAAACAGGAUUAGAAACCCCUGUAGU
rnacentral:rRNA from 1 species